AUUUUAGUAGCUUAAAAUUAAAAGCAUAAUAUUGAAGAUAUUAAUAUAGUUGUUACUCUAAAAUA
rnacentral:tRNA from 1 species